UUACUAACCCUCAAUAAGUUUGAGUGUAUUUUUAGUACAAAGCUUUUGUGAGUGUUUUUUAGUAUAAAUGUUUUGUAAGUAGAUGGGUUUUGUAAGUUAACUGUAAGUGAACUCUGAACUUAGACUUUAGUGUUCUGAGCGCGUGAAUAGCUUCUUCAUUGUCAGAGGUAUUAAUACAUUUCUCAUACAUGUAGGUAUUUAGGAAGCGUGCAUUACUGUUUGGUUGUCUCAUCAUGCUAGAAUGAUGUUGCAGAAACGGUCACCACAGUAUCAGUUAAAUGUAUCUGAGGUGUCUGAGGUGUGGUUCAUCAUCAGUAUUUCUAUCCUUAACCCCUCUGCACACAAUGAGUCUCUGAAAUGUGAUAGGUUGAAAUUUCAGAAAGACAGAAAGCGGCCAGAAUCGUGUCAUCCUUUUCACCCCGAGGAGAAUGCCAUGGAGUGUGGAGGAGCAGCAGGCCUCUCUGCCCCCCUUACAGCAGCACUGCUCCCCCUACUGGCCACUCUCAUUAGCAGGUGACCACACCGCCCUUGAGGCCCACCGUCCUGGACCCAACAAUGGACCUAACACUGGAGAGAUUGAUAGACAGGCGCACCAUCAAAUGCUGACAACGCACAGGGAGCCUCGCCAACAAGAAGUACUUGCUCACAACUAACUGAGUUGCUUAUUACCAACAGAGUGACGUACCAAUUGUAAAGCAUCUCCCUGACCAGCAGAGAAAUAAGAAAUUAGACAUUGUUCAAGAGAAACAGAACAAUAUUCCAAGGGGAAAACAAUAUGGACAUUAGACCGAACAAAUAUACCUGCGAGCAGCAAUGAACGGGUUUCACAGGAUGACAGAAAGGACACAAGAUCAGUUGGAUAACAAAGCCAGCCCUCUGUGAUGUAAGAACUAUCUUCCUUUAUGUGCAGUCAAUGAAAGCAUUACCAUGUUGAUUUAAAUUUCAGUUGGUUCACUCCACAUUAGCGUUCCUAAAUACUUCAAUACACUCUCACAGCUGUAGUACGCUGACUGCAAGCGGCAGGACAGGAUUUUACAGAAUAAAAUAUCCACUUUUCCCUAA